UCUGUAAAAUCAGGGCUUGACCUCGUGG
rnacentral:piRNA from 1 species